rnacentral:rRNA from 1 species
GAUGAACGCUAGCGGCAGGCCUAAUACAUGCAAGUCGAACGGAUCUGGGGACUUCGGUUCCCAGGUUAGUGGCGCACGGGUGCGUAACGCGUAUGCAACCUACCUUUUAUUGGGGGAUAGCCCGUCGAAAGACGGAUUAAUACCGCAUAAGAUCACUUGAGGGCAUCUGAGGGUGAUUAAAGCUACGGCGAUAGAAGAUGGGCAUGCGUGACAUUAGCUAGUUGGUUGAGGUAACGGCUCACCAAGGCGACGAUGUCUAGGGGUUCUGAGAGGAUGAUCCCCCACACUGGUACUGAGAUACGGACCAGACUCCUACGGGAGGCAGCAGUAGGGAAUAUUGGGCAAUGGACGCAAGUCUGACCCAGCCAUGCCGCGUGCAGGAUGAAGGCCUUCUGGGUUGUAAACUGCUUUUAUCUAGGGAGAAAACACCCCUGCGGGGGAACUGACGGUACUAGAGGAAUAAGCACCGGCUAACUCCGUGCCAGCAGCCGCGGUAAUAC